CAGCAGUCGCCGCGGGAAUACAGAGGGUGCGAGCGUUAAUCGGAUUUACUGGGCGUAAAGCGUGCGUAGGCGGCUUCUUAAGUCGGAUGUGAAAUCCCUGAGCUUAACUUAGGAAUUGCAUUCGAUACUGGGAAGCUAUAGUAUGGGAGAGGAUGGUAGAAUUCCAGGUGUAGCGGUGAAAUGCGUAGAGAUCUGGAGGAAUACCGAUGGCGAAGGCAGCCAUCUGGCCUAAUACUGACGCUGAGGUACGAAAGCAUGGGGAGCAAACAGGAUUAGAUACCCGUGUAGUCCCUGUCUCUUAUAC
rnacentral:rRNA from 1 species